UCAGCAGAGAUUAAAUGGAGAGCCAAGC
rnacentral:piRNA from 1 species